CUCUGGUAUCUUUCCUCGGAGCUAACUGUAAUUCUCUUUCAGAUCUCCUCUCCCUUUGUCUUCAAGUUGCUGCUCCACCGGCCAUUUUUCAGAUGUGCUAUACUUAUGUUUCAAAGAGAGUUUGCUCUUCGUUUGGUUGCAAAGCCUGGAGAUAAAUUAUACUGUAGACUCUCCAUCAAUACACAGCUUUUAGCACGUGUGGACCACCUAAUGAAGGUGGGGAAGAAUAAUUUCAGACCACCCCCCAAGGUGGAGUCCAGCGUGGUAAGGAUAGAACCGAAGAAUCCACCACCACCAAUCAAUUUUCAGGAAUGGGAUGGCUUAGUAAGAAUCACUUUUGUUCGAAAAAACAAGACACUGUCUGCUGCAUUCAAAUCAAGUGCGGUCCAACAGCUAUUGGAAAAAAACUACAGAAUUCACUGUUCAGU
rnacentral:lncRNA from 1 species